rnacentral:ncRNA from 2 species
CGCAGUGACACGGGGUGCCGUGCGCCGCUUCACCCGAAGCGGGCAUGGCUGAGAACACACCCGUCGAACCUGAUCUAGUUCGAACUAGCGAAGGGAUGUCGCGUUGAGCGAUC